rnacentral:tRNA from 1 species
AUCUGGCGCUUAACGGCGUGGGGGUUCAAGUCCCUUAACCCGCAUUAAGAUAUAACAAAUGAGCCGGCUUAGCUCAGUUGGUAGAGCAUCUGAUUUGUAAUCAGAGGGUCGCGUGUUCAAGUCAUGUAGCCGGCAUUUUUAGAUAGAAGAA